AGCUAGCCAUGCAGUCUCAGUACGAACUGACUUAAAGUGAAACCGCAAAAGGCUCAGUAAACCGGUCAUAGUUUACCGGAUAUAUGUUACUUACGUGGAUAACUGUGGUAAUUCUAGAGCUAAUACAUGCAAACAAGUCCCGACCAGCGAUGGGGAGGACGCUUUUAUUGGAUCAAAACCUUUCGCCCGGCUUGCCCGGGCGUCAGCUUGAUGACUCUAGAUAACACCACAGAUCGCACGGUCACAGUACCGGUGACAUAUCCUUCAAAUGUCUGACUUAUCAGCUGUCGAUGGUAGACUCUGUGUCUACCAUGGCGCUCACGGGUGACGGGGAAUCAGGGUUCGAUUCCGGAGAGGGAGCCUGAGAAACGGCUACCACAUCCAAGGAAGGCAGCAGGCACGCAAAUUACCCACUCCCGGCACGGGGAGGUAGUGACAAAAAAUAACGAUACGGGACUCAUCCGAGGCCCCGUAAUCGGAAUGAGAACACCCUAAAUCCUUUAACGAGGAUCUAUUGGAGGGCAAGUCUGGUGCCAGCAGCCGCGGUAAUUCCAGCUCCAAUAGCGUAUAUUAAAGUUGUUGCGGUUAAAAAGCUC
rnacentral:rRNA from 1 species